GUACCAUCGAGAAUCUUGCUACGGCCCUGGAAAAUGUAUUACUGCCAGGUGAAGCAGUAGAGGUGUGAAUCGUGUGUUCUCGGGAGCGCACGCGCAAUGUGGCCACCAGUCUGUCGCAUUUCUGCGCUACAAGUGCUUUCAUAAAUGAAAAUCAAAAGGAAACCAAGAAAACGGAGAUUAAAAUAUUUUUUUUUCACCAAGGUAUCAUCAACAUAACAAGCUAACUAUACGUAACAAGAAUAGCAUUCAUAGAUAUGAUCGACCGAUGAUUUUAGAAAUUAAAAUGAAUUUAACCAUCAA